GGGAAGGACGAGAUGACCAACGAGGAGCUGGCCGGAGGCGAGGAAGAGAUCGCCGAGCAGGGAGCUCCACAGGGGCCAGAUCCUCUGGUUCUGGGGCCUGAACCGGAUUCAGCCACAGCCUGGCCUCUGCCCACCACUCCCCAGAAACGGCGCUCGCCUAGGUCUACAAGGCUCCCUUCCGGCUCCUGGGGUCGGGCUAUCCCUGCAUCGUUCCUGCCUGCUGUGGGCACUGCCUGGAGACUUGCUGUCCUCACCCGCCUGGCACCCCCACCUCCUGCUCAGCCCUUGCCCCACCCUGCUGUGGCACUUGAGUGCUGAAAAUCCUGGCCCGGGAGGAAGAAAGAGCCCAUGGGGACCCCACCUGCAUCCUGGCCCCUCUCCCACUGCAGCCCCUGCAGCCUCUCCUUCAUGGCCUGCCCCUCCCACAGCAGCCUCCAGAGGGCCACCCAGCAUGCUUCACACUCCACCUCCUUCUGCAAGGCCUGGGCCACCGUCUCUCAGGUCACAGCCAUCACUCCCUGCCCCUCCAGGCCCUGUCCAGGAUCCCCAGUUGCAAUGCCCCUGACAUGGAGCGACUGAUUCUCCUCCCUGAGGUCCUGCCAGAGUAAGGACACCACUGCACACUUGGCUGCGGAGCCAGGGCCCGCCUAAGCCACCAGCCCCAGCUCAAGCUGAAAUAGGCGGGGACUGAGGCCACACCCCUUCCCAGGGUCUGUCACACAUCACCAAGGGCUUGUCCCAAGGAAUCAUCCAUGCAAUUUGCACAAAGCUGUUCUCGGUGCCCUGCGUCCUGUAUUCCCUCCCAGUGAUCUCAAGGGCCUAGUCUCAAGGGACCCAGCCUCAGGGCAGCCCCACUCCCCAGGCCUCAGCCUCCUUUGCUUGCCUUGGCUCAGUUCAGCCCCUCCAACGCCGCCCUCUGCAGUGGGACUGGUGGAGCCUCUCUCCAUUGUCCUAAGGAUGAAGUCCACGCUCCUGACCAUGACCUUCAAGCCUCUGCCUCUUGGUGUCACCCCAACCUUCCUGCACCCUUGCACCCCCGGCUGCCUUUCCAAUCAUGCCCUCUGCCCGCCUGUGCCACUGCACCUCCCCAACUCCUGCUGCAUACCCUGAGGCCCUCAUGCUUACGAAGCCCUCUCUGACUCCUCUCACUCACACGGGCUCCUUGCAAAACUUUCCAGAGCUACAGAGUCCCCAGAGACCACGAUCAUGCAAGGUUAGGUCAAGGGGCACCAAAGAACUCCACAUUUAAAGAGCCCCCAAGGAGUCCAAGGGGCCUCUCCAACUGAGAACUGGAAGAUGAGGCUGGCAUCCUAGGCACCCAACACAGCGUAGCCUGGGAAGGGUGUCUUAGGUCUGGACUCCGAACACUGUUACCUAUGGCCUGGCCUGGUCAGAACACAGAGAGCCCCGGUGAGGAAGGGGAGCAGGCUUUGUCGCCAGAUGGCCCGUGUCUCCCCUCCCGUGUGCAGGGGCUAAUGCCUCAAGCACAAUGCCUGGACAGGCCAGGGGUGCAGCACAGAUAGUCUCUUCUCAAUCCCUACAAUAUAUUUCUGUGCUAAAUCUUAAACACAUCAAAUGUUAGAAGCAGCACUCACAUCUGCCCCAGUGCCCUGCUAGAGGCCCAACUGUGCCUUCUACGAGACCAUGCCUAUGAGCCCCCCAGCUGCCCCCAGAUGGGCUGUUGUGCUACAGAGCCCAGAGCCCAGAGCUGCCCAAGCCUGGGGUUAGGGGUGAGGACAGCAGGACCUUGCCCUUCG
ensembl:lncRNA